rnacentral:rRNA from 1 species
GCUUAACCGAAGAAGUGCAUCGGAAACUGGGUGACUUGAGUGCAGAAGAGGACAGUGGAACUCCAUGUGUAGCGGUGGAAUGCGUAGAUAUAUGGAAGAACACCAGUGGCGAAGGCGGCUGUCUGGUCUGCAACUGACGCUGAGGCUCGAAAGCAUGGGUAGCAAACAGGAUUAGAUACCCUGGUAGUCCAUGCCGUAAACGAUGAGUGCUAGGUGUUGGAGGGUUUCCGCCCUUCAGUGCCGGAGCUAACGCAUUAAGCACUCCGCCUGGGGUGUACGACCGCAAGGUUGAAACUCAAAGGAAUUGACGGGGGCCCGCACAAGCGGUGGAGCAUGUGGUUUAAUUCGAAGCUACGCGAAGAACCUUACCAGGUCUUGACAUCUUGCGCUAACCUAAGAGAUUAGGUGUUCCCUUCGGGGACGCAAUGACAGGUGGUGCAUGGUCGUCGUCAGCUCGUGUCGUGAGAUGUUGGGUUAAGUCCCGCAACGAGCGCAACCCUUGUUACUAGUUGCCAGCAUUCAGUUGGGCACUCUAGUGAGACUGCCGGUGACAAACCGGAGGAAGGUGGGGACGACGUCAGAUCAUCAUGCCCCUUAUGACCUGGGCUACACACGUGCUACAAUGGUCGGUACAACG